rnacentral:rRNA from 1 species
UACGUAGGGUGCAAGCGUUUGUCCGGAAUUAUUGGGGCGUAAAGGGCUCGUAGGCGGUCUGUUGCGUCAGGAGUGAAAACUCGGGGCUUAACCCCCGAGCCUGCUUCUGAUACGGGCAGACUAGAGGUAUGCAGGGGAGAACGGAAUUCCUGGUGUAGCGGUGAAAAUGCGCAGAUAUCAGGAGGAACACCGGUGGCGAAGGCGGUUCUCUGGGCAUUACCUGACGCUGAGGAGCGAAAGUGUGGGGGAGCGAACAGG